rnacentral:rRNA from 1 species
AGAGUUUGAUCCUGGCUCAGGACGAACGCUGGCGGCGUGCUUAACACGUGCAAGUCGAACGAUGAAGCCCUUCGGGGUGGAUUAGUGGCGAACGGGUGAGUAACACGUGGGCAAUCUGCCCUUCACUCUGGGACAAGCCCUGGAAACGGGGUCUAAUACCGGAUAAUACUUUUCCCUGCAUAGGGAUUGGUUGAAAGCUCCGGCGGUGAAGGAUGAGCCCGCGGCCUAUCAGCUUGUUGGUGGGGUAAUGGCCUACCAAGGCGACGACGGGUAGCCGGCCUGAGAGGGCGACCGGCCACACUGGGACUGAGACACGGCCCAGACUCCUACGGGAGGCAGCAGUGGGGAAUAUUGCACAAUGGGCGAAAGCCUGAUGCAGCGACGCCGCGUGAGGGAUGACGGCCUUCGGGUUGUAAACCUCUUUCAGCAGGGAAGAAGCGAAAGUGACGGUACCUGCAGAAGAAGCGCCGGCUAACUACGUGCCAGCAGCCGCGGUAAUACGUAGGGCGCAAGCGUUGUCCGGAAUUAUUGGGCGUAAAGAGCUCGUAGGCGGCUUGUCACGUCGGAUGUGAAAGCUCGGGGCUUAACCCCGAGUCUGCAUUCGAUACGGGCAGGCUAGAGUGUGGUAGGGGAGAUCGGAAUUCCUGGUGUAGCGGUGAAAUGCGCAGAUAUCAGGAGGAACACCGGUGGCGAAGGCGGAUCUCUGGGCCGUUACUGACGCUGAGGAGCGAAAGCGUGGGGAGCGAACAGGAUUAGAUACCCUGCUAGUCCACGCCGUAAACGUUGGGAACUAGGUGUUGGCGACAUUCCACGUCGUCGGUGCCGCAGCUAACGCAUUAAGUUCCCCGCCUGGGGAGUACGGCCGCAAGGGCUAAAACUCAAAUGAAUUGACGG